ensembl:lncRNA
AUUCACUGGACCCAGAUUGCUGGAAAUGGAAUCAAACUCCAAAAGUCUUGUCAGCAGAAUGGAUCCAUCUCUUUGGAUCACGGCCAAGCGGCUUUAGCCCAAGCGGCAAUGAACUGCACGCAGCUCCAGUUGGUCCUCACGGACGUCCUGAAGACGGAACAGGGACAGGUCUACCUAGACAGGAAGAUGCGUGGCAAGAUGACAGGAACUGGAGAGAGGAAGAGAGAGUCACCGAUGGGGAGCGGGCAAAGGAGGGUGUCUCAGUGUAGCAGAGAGGGGAGGGAGGAUUGUAGAGAUUUUAUAGCACACACAAAGAGACCCCAUGACCACCCCACUCCCACCUCGACCCCGACCCGCAAGGAGAGGAGGUAAUGCUUGGUUAAAUGUUGCUGAAUUCAGCUUGGCUGUUGGAGAGGGGACGCUGUAUGCAGAUGAAUUUCUGUAGAUGAUUAUAGUGGAGUCUGUUAAGUGUAGGGAACAUGUCUUCCUUUUUAGGAUGCCAGUGAGCGAUUUAAGAGUUAAAACACAAGGUCAGCAUGCAGUGGAAUAAUUGUUUUUCUACUACUUUUUCUUUCUCUCUUGUUUAGGUCACACCACAGAGGGGGGUCAGAGGAAGACGAGGAGGUGAAGGAACUUUUAAUAGGAGAGGAAAACAUCAAAGACCAGAGAUGCAACAGUAGUAUGUCAGGGAGGCAUAGUUCACAGGAACCCCUGGAGGAGGUGACCUUUACUGAGGGGGACAUGCACCAGGAAAAGACUUACCCACAAUCCACCAGGACUAGGAAGGCAGAUUCAGGUUCAAGCGAAUCCACACAUGUUGAGAGGGAGAGUUGGAGGAGGGAGUCUGGGCUCUACAGUAAUGGACAGGUGAAGGAUGGAGGGAUGAAUGAUGGAGUGGCAGAGGGCUUGACCACAGAUGCCUCCAGGAGCUCCAGAGGGAGCGUGCUGCGCCUCUCCAGGGAGGCCAGAGGCGGGGGAGGACUGCCCCCCAAACAGCUGUGUCUGGGGGGGACGGGGGGCAUAGACACUAAUGUAGCAUCCAUAGAAGUAGAGGUGGACCCCUCAAACUUUGAUGGGACCCCGAUGGUAGUCACUGUGGGGGAAGACAGGGAAGUUGCCAGCUCCUCUAACCCCAGCUGUGGAGGGGUUAAGGAGAGGAGAGGAACCCUGUCCUCCAGCCAGGAUAGGACGCCCAAACUCAGUCCUGUUGAACCCAUCGUUCUCUCCAGUGAUGAGGAGGUAGUCACCCCGUCCCACAGUUCAGUCCUCUGGCCUCAGACUAGUGAGUGUGAGUCCCAGAGAAACCAUGCUCAGGAAGACAACGUGGUGGAAGAGACAGACUUUCAGGUGAUGCCUGCGGUGGUGACAGGGUCUGGGGUGGCCAGUUUCCCCAGCACCGAGGACUCUGAGGGUAUGGCCCUACCCUUCUCUGCCCUGCACUGUGGGGGGGUCCGAGGGGAGUCCAGCGGAAACCUCAUGAUCACAAACCACAGAAUCAUCAUACCAAUUAAAGGCCAGGUAGAUGUGAUGGUGACUGUGGAGCGCUGUCAGCUGUGGAAGUACAGCAUCUGGGACAGGGAGGAGCUACAGGAGAGAGGGCUGGGGUGUGAGGUCAAGAGAGAGAUGGGGCAGCCUCCCCCCGCCCUCCUCCUCUACGUGUCAGACGCCCAGGCAGUCGCCGUUCAAGAAGACCUGAGGGAGCUGUCAAUCAAACAGGCCUUAGAACCACCCGCUGGCCAGGCCAGUCCCUUCCUCCUGCUGACUCUGCAUGCCCCUCUGGAGGGGGUGGAAGGGGCUCUACUUCGCUCCAUCCUCGACAUCAUCUGUCUCAACAACGUCGACGCUGCAUGUCUCUGGGGGAACGCUCCCAUCAACGAGGCGGUGGACCUCCACAGUCCCCUCCUGUCAUUGGAUGACAGUCUGGCGCUGAUCGGUAGAACCGGACUAGACCACCAGCUGCUCUCCCUACUGGGACAGAACAAUGCCGAGCCUGUCACAGAACCCGACCAGGACAGAGACACACCUGGGCCAAAUCUGGACACUGUGGAGGGAGAGUCACAGACACCACCGGAGACAGAGGUACAGGCAGAGGAGGAGCAGAGGGAGGCAGAGAGCGUACCCCUCGCUGAGGUUGGUAGUACUGUGUGUGUGUGUUUGGGUGUGGAGACGGAUGUCAUCAAGCUCAACCAUAACAAACCCUAA